UUUUCCUCCAAAACCGGAUGCCACUUCGCGGAUGUUGUGAGGCUAAACCAUGUGCUUCACAUAUCAACAAACCACAACCGGCGAUGUCAGGAUGUCUUUCCCUCAAACAUUGCUUCUUUGAGAGACAACGAUACUCUGUUCAUCACUUGGUUAACAACAGUGUUGAAACCUACACUGAAGGAAGUUAUAGGAGGGUCCGGCAGGAGCUGUUCUUCCCGAUUCAAAUGUACUUGGCAGGAAAAGAAGAGAAAUUAGGUACAGCCUAAAGAGACCACCUGCAAACUGAGACACGUUGUCAUGUGAAAAGCACUUGGCAAAGACAAGAUGAUCCGUCAAUAGCCUGUUAUGCUUUGAUAAGCUCCAUCUAAUCAAAUUCACAAAAAUAUAUUGUAGUUGAUGGCAAUUUAUAACAUUUAUGUUACACAACAUUUGAUGAUGAUGCUAUAGACGCUCUGAGUGUACAUUUCAUCAAUUUUGUUAUUGGCAACAAAAUGAAAUAAAUGUUUACAGAAUUU